AAUUUUCUUUCAGGCACCUCCGCUGAGCUUUUAAACCAAGUCAUUGGGACUUAGCGUCUUUCUACCUGGCAGAGAAGGGAGGAGUUGGCAAGAAUUUGGCUCACCCAUUCCCCCUGCAAUCCUCCAGCGUCGCGGAGCACUAGACAUCUACCAUGACUGACACCGUGUUCAGCAACAGUUCUAACCGUUGGAUGUACCCCAGUGACCGGCCCCUUCAAUCAAAAACAGCUCCAGGCAGGCUGGUCCGUCCACCCCGGUGGUCAGCCUGACAGGCAGAGGAAGCAGGAAGAGCUGACUGAUGAAGAGAAAGAAAUCAUCAACAGGGUGAUUGCUCGAGCUGAGAAAAUGGAAGAGAUGGAGCAGGAGCGAAUCGGACGCCUGGUGGACCGCCUAGAAAACAUGAGGAAGAACGUGGCUGGGGAUGGGGUGAACCGCUGCAUACUGUGUGGAGAACAGCUGGGGAUGCUGGGCUCUGCCUGUGUAGUAUGUGAGGACUGUAAGAAGGUAUCAUCAUCCUCUUCUCCCUUCUUCCCUGUGCAGCACCUGCA
rnacentral:sRNA from 1 species